CCCAGGUGGUCUGUUUCAGUAUGUGUCCUCUAUCCCCCAGGUGGUCUGUUUCAGUAUGUGUCCUCUCCCCCAGGUGGUCUGUUUCAGUAUGUGUCCUCUCCCAGGUGGUCUGUUUCAGUAUGUGUCCUAUCUCCCAGGUGGUCUGUUUCAGUAUGUGUCCUCUC